GAGUGAAAAAGAACCUGAAACCGUGUACGUACAAGCAGUGGGAGCCUCUUUAUGGGGUGACUGCGUACCUUUUGUAUAAUGGGUCAGCGACUUAUAUUCUGUAGCAAGGUUAACCGAAUAGGGGAGCCGAAGGGAAACCGAGUCUUAACUGGGCGUUAAGUUGCAGGGUAUAGACCCGAAACCCGGUGAUCUAGCCAUGGGCAGGUUGAAGGUUGGGUAACACUAACUGGAGGACCGAACCGACUAAUGUUGAAAAAUUAGCGGAUGACUUGUGGCUGGGGGUGAAAGGCCAAUCAAACCGGGAGAUAGCUGGUUCUCCCCGAAAGCUAUUUAGGUAGCGCCUCGUGAAUUCAUCUCCGGGGGUAGAGCACUGUUUCGGCAAGGGGGUCAUCCCGACUUACCAACCCGAUGCAAACUGCGAAUACCGGAGAAUGUUAUCACGGGAGACACACGGCGGGUGCUAACGUCCGUCGUGAAGAGGGAAACAACCCAGACCGCCAGCUAAGGUCCCAAAGUCAUGGUUAAGUGGGAAACGAUGUGGGAAGGCCCAGACAGCCAGGAUGUUGGCUUAGAAGCAGCCAUCAUUUAAAGAAAGCGUAAUAGCUCACUGGUCGAGUCGGCCUGCGCGGAAGAUGUAACGGGGCUAAACCAUG
rnacentral:rRNA from 1 species